rnacentral:rRNA from 1 species
CCUACGGGAGGCAGCAGUGAGGAAUAUUGGUCAAUGGACGAGAGUCUGAACCAGCCAAGUAGCGUGAAGGAUGACUGCCCUAUGGGUUGUAAACUUCUUUUAUCAAGGAAUAAAACGAGGCACGUGUGCCUUUUUGCAUGUACUUUAUGAAUAAAGCUCGGCUAACUCCGUGCCAGCAGCCGCGGUAAUACGGAGGAUGCGAGCGUUAUCCGGAUUUUUUGGGUUUAAAGGGUGCGUAGGGGGGCUGUACAGUCAGCGGUAAAAGCCCGGGGCUCAACCCCGGCGAGCCGUUGAAACUGGCUGGCUUGAGAUGUCGAGAGGUAUGCGGAAUGCGCAGUGUAGCGGGGAAAUGCUUGGAUAUUGCGCAGAACUCCGAUUGCGAAGGCAGCAUACCGGCGGCGAUCUGACGCUGAGGCACGAAAGCUUGGGUAUCGAACAGGAUUAGAUCCCGAGUAGUC